UACGGAGGGUGCAAGCGUUAAUCGGAAUUACUGGGCGUAAAGCGUGCGUAGGCGGUUCGUUAAGUCCGUUGUGAAAGCCCUGGGCUCAACCUGGGAAUUGCAGUGGAUACUGGCGAGCUAGAGUGCGGUAGAGGAUGGUGGAAUUCCCGGGUGUAGCGGUGAAAUGCGUAGAGAUCGGGAGGAACACCCGUGGCGAAGGCGGCCAUC
rnacentral:rRNA from 1 species